GCCUUUGUAGUAUAAAUAAUACACUGGUCUUGUAAACCAGAAAUGGAGACUUAACUCUCCCUAAGACAUC
rnacentral:tRNA from 1 species